CACGGGGGGAGCAAGCGUUGUUCGGAAUCACUGGGCGUAAAGGGCGCGUAGGCGGCCAGCACAAGUCAGUUGUGAAAUCUCCGGGCUUAACUCGGAAAGGUCAACUGAUACUGUGCGGCUAGAGUGCGGAAGGGGCAACUGGAAUUCUCGGUGUAGCGGUGAAAUGCGUAGAUAUCGAGAGGAACACCUGCGGCGAAGGCGGGUUGCUGGGCCGACACUGACGCUGAUGCGCGAAAGCCAGGGGAGCGAACGGG
rnacentral:rRNA from 1 species